GGAAGUAAAAGUCGUAACAAGGUUUCCGUAGGUGAACCUGCGGAAGGAUCAUUACAUUUAGUAGCUUGCUACUGCUAAGAGGGUCUGUUAGGCUGUAUAGUAUUGCUACUGACGAGCAGCAUGAUCCUCUAAGUCAACCCUUGUCUUUUGCGUACCUACGUUUCCUCAGCGGGUAUAACCCGCUGGCUGGACAAAAUUAAAACCCUUGAAUAUUCAAUCAGUGUCUGAGAAACUUAAUAAUUACAACUUUCAACAACGGAUCUCUUGGUUCUGGCAUCGAUGAAGAACGCAGCGAAAUGCGAUAAGUAGUGUGAAUUGCAGAAUUCAGUGAAUCAUCGAAUCUUUGAACGCACAUUGCGCCCCUUGGUAUUCCAUGGGGCAUGCCUGUUCGAGCGUCAUUUGUACCCUCAAGCUCUGCUUGGUGUUGGGUGUUUGUCUAUGCUUUUGCUUGGACUCACCUCAAAGCAAUUGGCAGCCAGUGUUUUGGCAUAGAAGCGCAGCACAUCUUGCACUUCCAGUCUUAAACACCAGCUUCCAGUAAGUCCCUUUACGUUUGACCUCGGAUCAGGUAGGGAUACCCGCUGAACUUAAGCAUAUCAAUAAGCGGAGGAAAAGAAACCAACAGGGAUUGCCUUAGUAACGGCGAGUGAAGCGGCAACAGCUCAAAUUUGAAAUCUGGCUCUCUUAGGGCCCGAGUUGUAAUUUGCAGAGGGCGCUUUGGUGUCGGCAGCGGUCCAAGUUCCUUGGAACAGGACGUCACAGAGGGUGAGAAUCCCGUACGUGGUCGCUAGCCUUUGCCGUGUAAAGCCCCUUCGACGAGUCGAGUUGUUUGGGAAUGCAGCUCUAAAUGGGAGGUAAAUUUCUUCUAAAGCUAAAUACUGGCCAGAGACCGAUAGCGCACAAGUAGAGUGAUCGAAAGAUGAAAAGCACUUUGGAAAGAGAGUCAAAUAGCACGUGAAAUUGUUGAAAGGGAAGCGCUUGCAGCCAGACUUGCCUGUAGUAGUUUAUCUAGACUUUUGUCUAGUGCACUCUUCUGCAGGCAGGCCAGCAUCAGUCUAGGCGAUUGGAUAAAGGUCUCUAUCACGUACCUCUCUUUGGGGAGGCCUUAUAGGGGAGACGUCAUGCAACCAGUCUGGACUGAGGUCUGCGCAUCUGCUAGGAUGCUGGCGUAAUGGCUGUAAGCGGCCCGUCUUGAAACACGGACCAAGGAGUCUAACAUCUAUGCGAGUGUUUGGGUGUCAAGCCCAAACGCGUAAUGAAAGUGAACGGAGGUGGGAACCCUUUGGGUGCACCAUCGACCGAUCCUGAUGUCUUCGGAUGGAUUUGAGUAAGAGCAUGGCUGUUGGGACCCGAAAGAUGGUGAACUAUGCUUGAAUAGGGUGAAGCCAGAGGAAACUCUGGUGGAGGCUCGCAGCGGUUCUGACGUGCAAAUCGAUCGUCAAAUUUGGGCAUAGGGGCGAAAGACUAAUCGAAC
rnacentral:rRNA from 1 species